CCCGGAACCUGACGCCUCGGAAUCCCGGUCUACUCUGCGGAGGCCUGAGCGGGCUCACGAGGGAACCAGUUCUGCGGGUCCGGCCGGCUCAACUGUGAAUCUGUCCUUCUUGCUACCGAGAGCCCAGGCCUGGCACAGCUUAGUGUUCGGUGAAUGUCUGCUGAACAAAUCUGUGUGACUGGAACCUCUUGGGCCCAGAAUCAAGUUUGGGUCCACAGCAGUUGUGGGCCCACAAACUCCCUGCCCUGAGGAGACUGGGGCAGCCAUCUCUUUGCCCUCACUGGGCAGGUAAGGAAGCCCAGGCGGCCUUGGUCCCUCAGAGCCCCAGUGUCGUCAUCUGAGAAAUGGGGUGAUCAUAAGGACACUAGCCUCAUUCAGUUACUGGCAAGAUGAAACUGAUGACGAGGAUUGCUCCAGCCAGCCCCGAUGCCCUUGAGGCAGGAGCGAGGUCUGAUUAAUUCAUCUAAGGCCAGGCACCAGGGCAGGCCUCAGGAAAUGACAGGCAAAUCUUGGAGUUUGCAGUCAUGAGCCUUUGUGAAUGGCUUAUUUUGCAGGGAGUCCUACUCAACUGGAUUCUGACUCCUCAUGACAACCCUAAGGGAAGCAUGAUUAUUAAUAUCUCUGUUACAGUUCUCACAUUCCUUCACUUAUUAAUCCAAUAAAUAUUUGAGUGCCUA